rnacentral:rRNA from 1 species
UACGUAGGGGGCUAGCGUUGUCCGGAAUCAUUGGGCGUAAAGAGCGUGUAGGCGGUCCGGUAAGUCCGUUGUGAAAGUCAGGGGCUCAACCCUUGAAUGCCGGCGGAUACUGUCGGGCUAGAGUCCGGAAGAGGCGAGUGGAAUUCCCGGUGUAGCGGUGAAAUGCGCAGAUAUCGGGAGGAACACCCGUAGCGAAGGCGGCGCUCUGGGCCGGUACUGACGCUGAGGAGCGAAAGCGUGGGGAGCAAACAGG